CAGGAGUAGCCGCCAGUCGCCCGUG
rnacentral:miRNA from 1 species